CAUGUACAUACGAAGAGUUUUAAUCUCGUGCCCAAGGCAAAAUGGAAGCAAAAUGGCCUGGCAUGGGUACGAGGUUGUCCUUUCACGUCGUCUUUCUCGAAAGCAACCGUUCGUAAGCUUUCGCAAACGUUUCGAGCAAAGACUCUAAAAUAGUGGCAGUAAUACUUUAAAAUACAAUUGCAGAAUCUACUAAUUCAUCGUAUAAAGGACCGGUCAUAAAGUAACUGCUAGGGUGGGCCGGAGUGAUUUGGGAU